GAUGAACGCUGGCGGCGUGCCUAAUACAUGCAAGUCGAGCGAACAGACGAGGAGCUUGCUCCUCUGACGUUAGCGGCGGACGGGUGAGUAACACGUGGAUAACCUACCUAUAAGACUGGGAUAACUUCGGGAAACCGGAGCUAAUACCGGAUAAUAUAUUGAACCGCAUGGUUCAAUAGUGAAAGACGGUUUUGCUGUCACUUAUAGAUGGAUCCGCGCCGCAUUAGCUAGUUGGUAAGGUAACGGCUUACCAAGGCGACGAUGCGUAGCCGACCUGAGAGGGUGAUCGGCCACACUGGAACUGAGACACGGUCCAGACUCCUACGGGAGGCAGCAGUAGGGAAUCUUCCACAAUGGGCGAAAGCCUGACGGAGCAACGCCGCGUGAGUGAUGAAGGUCUUCGGAUCGUAAAACGCUGUUAUUAGGGAAGAACAAAUGUGUACGUAACUAUGCACGUCUUGACGGUACCUAAUCAGAAAGCAACGGCUAACUACGUG
rnacentral:rRNA from 1 species